rnacentral:rRNA from 1 species
UACGUAGGGGGGCAAGCGUUGCUCGGAAUCACUGGGCGUAAAGCGCACGUAGGCGGCUUCUUAAGUCAGGGGUGAAAUCCUGGAGCUCAACUCCAGAACUGCCUUUGAUACUGAGAAGCUUGAGUCCGGGAGAGGUGAGUGGAACUGCGAGUGUAGAGGUGAAAUUCGUAGAUAUUCGCAAGAACACCAGUGGCGAAGGCGGCUCACUGGCCCGAUACUGACGCUGAGGUG